UACGGAGGGUGCAAGCGUUAUCCGGAUUCACUGGGUUUAAAGGGUGCGUAGGUGGGUUGGUAAGUCCGUGGUGAAAUCCCCAGCUUAACUUGGGAACUGCCGUGGAUACUAUCAAUCUUGAAUAUCGUGGAGGUAAGCGGAAUAUGUCAUGUAGCGGUGAAAUGCUUAGAUAUGACAUAGAACACCGAUAGCGGAGGCAGCUUGCUACACGAUCAUUGACACUGAGGCACGAAAAGCGUGGGGGAGCAAACAGG
rnacentral:rRNA from 1 species